rnacentral:tRNA from 1 species
UCCCUGGGAGUCUAGUGGUUAGGAUUCUGCACUUGCACUGCUGCUGCCCAGGUUCAUUCCCUGGUCUGGAAA